AGAGUUUGAUCCUGGCUCAGGACGAACGCUGGCGGCGUGCUUAACACAUGCAAGUCGAACGAGAAUCACUGGAAGGAGUUUUCGGACAACGGAAGGUGAGGACAGUGGCGGACGGGUGAGUAACGCGUGAGGAACCUGCCUUUCAGAGGGGGACAACAGUUGGAAACGACUGCUAAUACCGCAUGACACAUAGAGAUCGCAUGGUUUUUAUGUCAAAGAUUUAUCGCUGAAAGAUGGCCUCGCGUCUGAUUAGCUAGUUGGUGAGGUAACGGCCCACCAAGGCGACGAUCAGUAGCCGGACUGAGAGGUUGACCGGCCACAUUGGGACUGAGAUACGGCCCAGACUCCUACGGGAGGCAGCAGUGGGGAAUAUUGGGCAAUGGGCGCAAGCCUGACCCAGCAACGCCGCGUGAAGGAAGAAGGCUUUCGGGUUGUAAACUUCUUUUAAGAGGGAAGAGUAGAAGACGGUACCUCUAGAAUAAGCCACGGCUAACUACGUGCCAGCAGCCGCGGUAAUACGUAGGUGGCAAGCGUUGUCCGGAUUUACUGGGUGUAAAGGGCGUGCAGCCGGGUCUGCAAGUCAGAUGUGAAAUCCAUGGGCUCAACCCAUGAACUGCAUUUGAAACUGUAGAUCUUGAGUGUCGGAGGGGCAAUCGGAAUUCCUAGUGUAGCGGUGAAAUGCGUAGAUAUUAGGAGGAACACCAGUGGCGAAGGCGGAUUGCUGGACGAUAACUGACGGUGAGGCGCGAAAGUGUGGGGAGCAAACAGGAUUAGAUACCCUGGUAGUCCACACUGUAAACGAUGAAUACUAGGUGUGCGGGGACUGACCCCCUGCGUGCCGCAGUAAACACAAUAAGUAUUCCACCUGGGGAGUACGAUCGCAAGGUUGAAACUCAAAGGAAUUGACGGGGGCCCGCACAAGCGGUGGAUUAUGUGGUUUAAUUCGAAGCAACGCGAAGAACCUUACCAGGGUUUGACAUCCUGCUAACGAAGUAGAGAUACAUUAGGUGCCCUUCGGGGAAAGCAGAGACAGGUGGUGCAUGGUUGUCGUCAGCUCGUGUCGUGAGAUGUUGGGUUAAGUCCCGCAACGAGCGCAACCC
rnacentral:rRNA from 1 species